GUCCAGGUGGCAGAGUCCGGCCAAUGCAAAAGGUCUAAGCCCUUACCACAGGGGUUCAACUCCCCUCCUAGACU
rnacentral:tRNA from 1 species